GCCUCCCCUGGGAGCUGGGUGGCCUAUAGGUGAGGUGAUUGGAUUCCAGGGCAGUGUCCCCUGCAGGGGCAAUCACUGCUUGUUUUGUUCGCUCCGGUGAAAAAUCAUAUAUACGCAACCGCCGGAAGUUGUUGGCAAUCGGUCUGUCUGGCCAUCGGUCUGUCCGGCUGCUGCUGUGUCUGCUGCUGUGUGGGUGUGUGGGUGGAAGGGGGGCCCUGCGGCCCACAACUCUGGCCUAAGCCAGGGCUGGAGGCAGCAUUGGAGUGAGUGUGUGUUGUGAGGGAAGAGACUCACAGCACCUGAAGAUAAGAGGGAGAGAGAGAAGCCAGGCCCUCUUUCCCCUCCCCCUUUCCAGCUAGGCUGCAGAGGGGGGCUUCUUUUCCCUCUCACUGUAAAGUGGAGGGGAGACUCAGCGCUGCAGCGGAGCCAAAGUGGAUGGGCUGAACGCAACCCAGCACCAGGGAGAUAACCCCAGACAAAAUUGGAGACGGACCAGAGAAAGGCCUGGAGGAUGUCCUUGCAGUGAUUUAAAUGGAGGACAGUCGAAAACUCGGAGGAGGAAUGAAAAUUCCAAGACGUGUACAUGUGAUAAGCUGAACUGAACUACAGCAGCACGGAACCGAGGGGGAGAGAGAGAGAGAGAGAGAGAGAAUCACACAGAAGAGACUGACACGGAACCAAGGGAGCACGGACUCAGACUAUUUUCUUGGACUUCGUAAGGAAGAAGAGACUUCAGUAAACAGCUGAAGGUUGGUGGAGGGGAGUGAAUCAGAUUUCUCUGAACACUCCCACGAGAGAAAGACUGGUUACCUAUCAUCCUGAAGGGCUUUUCCUGGACUGAAUUGAGAGAGAAGCUUAAAGGGACUGAUAGAAGUGUAUAAUAUUAUAUAUAUAGUUGCUUUUAGCUUGUACAGUAUAUUUAUUUGUGUAAAAUAAAUGUAUAUACUUCCCCUUUUCCCCUAUAGAA